CCUACGGGGGGCUGCAGUCGAGAAUCAUUCACAAUGGGGGAAACCCUGAUGGUGCGACGCCGCGUGGGGGAAUGAAGGUCUUCGGAUUGUAAACCCCUGUCAUGUGGGAGCAAAUUAAAAAGAUAGUACCACAAGAGGAAGAGACGGCUAACGCGGUGCCAGCAGCCGCGGUAAUACAGAGGUCUCAAGCGUUGUUCGGAAUCACUGGGCGGAAAGCGUGCGUAGGCGGGUUCGUAAGUCGUGUGUGAAAGGCGCGGGCUCAACCCGCGGACGGCACAUGAUACUGCGAGACUAGAGUAAUGGAGGGGGAACCGGAAUUCUCGGUGUAGCAGUGAAAUGCGUAGAUAUCGAGAGGAACACUCGUGGCGAAGGCGGGUUCCUGGACAUUAACUGACGCUGAGGCACGAAGGCCAGGGGAGCGAACGGGAUUAGAUACCCGUGUAGUC
rnacentral:rRNA from 1 species